CAGCUGUGCACAGGGAGAGGACAGCCACUGUUCCAGGCGGGCAGGACCUGGCCUCCGGAGCCUUCUCCCAGGUUCAGAUUCCUCCUCCUGUUCUUCUCUCCCACCUCCUCAGACUGUGUAGGAAUUUUUCGUUAUUCAGCACACCCCCCUUCCCGUCAGCCUGUACUUCAUUUCUCACAUUCCACCCGGGGCCUAGUCCGUAUUAUACUAAGCAGAAGGCCCAUCUCCCAAAUGAACCUGAGGCCGUAGAGAUCUAAACCUUUUAAGGGAGGAGGACCCAGUCUUUUGUUGGCUUUUGAACAAUGGCAGAGAACUGAGCCCAGCCGGGAUCCCCAAGUCAGGUUCUGGGCAGAUGUGUUUUUUUGUUGAAGCUGAUGUGGUCACCGUCCUAUUGAAGGGCAGAAGGGGGAGCAGGAGUGACUCCAUGACAGGCUGAAUCUCCUGACACAGGCCUAAGUUUCGGUUU